UCCAUUUUAAAAUGCAUUUAAUUCAUUUUUUUUUAUUUUUUUAACUGAUUAAUUAUUUAAAAAUGUUGUUGAGGCAUUUGAUUGACUUUGUGAUGUUUGACUUUCUGUUUGUCCUUGAUCAUGGUUGAUUUGAACUUCCAUUUGACCAAUACUAUUGGAUUUAGGGGGUUUGUAAAAUGUACAUUUCAUCCCCCAAAAUGAAUGAAUAGUAUUGAUCAGAUGAAAUUCCUCCUGUG
rnacentral:lncRNA from 1 species